ACAGGGAUUGCCUUAGUAACGGCGAGUGAAGCGGCAAAAGCUCAAAUUUGAAAUCUGGCACCUUCGGUGUCCGAGUUGUAAUUUGAAGAAGGUAACUUUGGGAUUGGCUCUUGUCUAAGUUCCUUGGAACAGGACGUCACAGAGGGUGAGAAUCCCGUGCGAUGAGAUGACCAAUCCUAUGUAAAGUGCUUUCGAAGAGUCGAGUUGUUUGGGAAUGCAGCUCUAAGUGGGUGGUAAAUUCCAUCUAAAGCUAAAUAUUGGCGAGAGACCGAUAGCGAACAAGUACAGUGAUGGAAAGAUGAAAAGAACUUUGAAAAGAGAGUGAAAAAGUACGUGAAAUUGUUGAAAGGGAAGGGCUUGAGAUCAGACUUGGUAUUUUGCAUUCCUUACCUUCGUGGUGGGGUUCCUUGCAGUUUACUGGGCCAGCAUCGGUUUGGAUGGUGGGAUAAUGACAUUGGAAUGUGGCUCUGCUUCGGUAGAGUGUUAUAGCCAGUGUUGAUACCGCCUGUCUAGACCGAGGACUGCGUCUUUGACUAGGAUGCUGGCAUAAUGAUCUUAAG
rnacentral:rRNA from 1 species